UGCAUUUGUAAAAUAGUUUGAAUUGUUCCUGUCAAUUUCAACUUUCGGAGGAGCAUAUCCUCUUGGUGUAA
rnacentral:tRNA from 1 species